rnacentral:rRNA from 1 species
GUAGCAAAAUCAUUUGUUUUUUAAUUGAAAACUGGUAUGAAAGAUUGAACAAGCAUAAGAUUUUUAUUUUGGCUUAUUAAAAUUUAUAUUUUAUGUAAAAAUACAUAAAUGUUUAAAAGGGACGAUAAGACCCUAAAAGCUUUAUUGUUUAAUUUGUUUAAAUUGUUUAGAUAGCACAAGUGUAUGUCAGUUUAACUGGGGCGGUUGUUUUUAAAAACAAAAAUUUUUUUUACGUUUAGGUCAUAAGAUCCUUUAGAAUAAGGAUAAAUAGUGAAAGUUACUUUAGGGGUAACAGCACGAUAAUGAUGGGGAGACCUUAUUUAUAUUGUUGAUUGUGACCUCGAUGUUGAAUUAAAAUUUCAUUAUAAAGCAGAAAUUAUAUUUGAAAGUUUGUUCAACUUUUAAAUUUUU